UCGCGGCGGNGAGCGCAGAAGGGUCUGGGCUUGAGCCUGCCUGGAGCCGCCGCCGGUGCAGAUCUUGGUGGUAGUAGCAAAUACUCCAGCGAGGCCCUGGAGGACUGAUGUGGAGAAGGGUUUCGUGUGAACAGCCGUUGCACACGAGUCAGUCGAUCCUAAGCCCUAGGAGAAAUCCGAUACAAACGGCGAUGGGAAACGCAUUGACUCUUAUGAAUGAAUCUAUGAGACAGAGACCCAUUGAUCGGGCGAAAGGGAAUCCGGUUCCUAUUCCGGAACCCGGCAGCGGAACCGUUGUUUGUCGGGCCCUCGCAAGGGGUUCGUCAGGGCAACCUAAAAGGGCCCGGAGACGCCGUCGGGGGCCCCGGAAAGAGUUUUCUUUUCUGCAUGAGCGUUCGAGUUCCCUGGAAUCCUCUCGCAGGGAGAUAGGGUUUGGAACGCGAAGAGCACCGCAGUUGCGGCGGUGCACGGGAAUUCCCGACGGACCUUGAAAAUCCGGGAGAGGGCCACGUGGAGGUGUCGCGCCGGCUCGUACCCAUAUCCGCAGCAGGUCUCCAAGGUGAAGAGCCUCUAGUC
rnacentral:rRNA from 1 species